CCAUGUGUAACCUCUCUCCCUUUCAUCUCGAUCCACCAGACCCAAAUCCCGUCGUGAACUAUCACCCUCAACUGAUCAAGUCUCUCUCUUAUCUCUCCGGCUCCAUCUCUCACUUUCACUCUCUCAUGUCGGUCUCGCACUCAGAAUAGAAAACCCUUCUUGUCUUCCUUCUCUCCCUUGGUUCAGCAGCUCCUUCUCCCUUCUUUAUCAGCAACGACCAUCUUCACCACUUGACAAACGGGAAACGGCGACCUUCAUUCUUCUUCUUUCAUCGUGAACCAUUUGCCUUUGUCUUGGCGAGCGACCUUGUUGGGGGUCUGGGUUUCUGGGUUCGAUCGAAGGUUUUGAUUUCCUUCUUUCUUUUGACUUUCUGAAAGGUGAAAGGAAGAGUCAUGGCUAUGGCAAACAACUAAAUGCGAGGCAAACUUAUGGAGGACAUGAGGUUUUCGGAAUCAGAUUUUUGGGACAAAUUUUGGGUUUGUCUAUUUCGUCGAAGCUUCAUCUUCUUUGGGAGCUAAAUAUUCUUUUGCUGGAUAAUGUUGAUUGUGGUUGUGGGUCUGGAAUUUUUAAUCUGUAAAUGAGGGAGGUUUCAUUGGCAAUGAGAAUGAAGAUGAGGGAGGUUUCACUAGCAAAAGGAAGAAGAACGGUCUUCAUCGAUGAGGGAGGAGAAGGGUUGAGUUCAGAUUCUCUUAUUAUUUUUUUAAUUUUUAAUUAUUAAAAUAUGCCAUAUGGCUGCCAACAUGAAAAGUUAAGGUCAAAAUAAUAGUCAACACAGGCAAACCCUAAUAGCAAGGUGAGGUUGUAUCAAAUUGAAAAAUAUUAGGGUAAAAUUGUGUAAAAAAAUUUGAAGA